UCUCCUUUCACCUCUAUCUCUCUCACUCUGUCUCGCCGGAAGUCAGCCGCACGCCGCCGCCUUGGGUGUUCACGGCCAUCGCCUGGCCGUGGAAGAGCACGGCCGCCGCCUGCCCGCCCUGAUUCUCUCUCUCGGUUUCUAGAUCUCUAGAUCGGAACAGGGCAUGCGCCCUCUCUGCCGGAGUCCAAGCCAGGCCGCCGUCUCUUCGUCCUCCAUCGCCGCCGUUCGUCGUCGGAUUCGCUGUGAGGAGCCGAGCACCGUCUCACAAAGAUCGGAAGCCACCGCGGCUCCGUCGCCGUCCGUCAACCGCCGGCGACGACGAGCCACCGAGGCUGCCCUCCCCCUGACCUCGACUCACACACGCAAUCAGCCAACACAAAGGGUCUUUGUGCAAGAAUCAUAUACUGUAAUUGCUCAAAUAAAAGUUUUAACUCUUUCCUUGUAACUUCAGUUCACAAGUACAUAUUUAGUAACUGUAAAUCUAUGAAUUUGCUACUCAUUUUCUUCAUUUAUCAAAGCAUAUGUAAAUCUGAGUUAAUGAGCA